UGUCUUCCCAGAAACAAGAAUGUGCGUGUAAUGUUUUGUUGAGCUCUGUUGUAACUUAUUUGACAUCUCUUCCUGUUUCACAGGUUAAAGACUUUUUGAAGUAAAGAGGAGCAUCUCAUCUGAACCUGAUGUCUAUCAUGGAUAUUUAACUGCAGUUCUGUGAGUAUCCCAACUUGACCAUGAAGAUGAACUGCAAACUGUAAGUCAUUAGUUUCUCAUUACUCUUGGGCACAUUGAUGUAUUUUGGCUUCCUGGUGAGUUAACCUGUUAGCUGAAGGUUGAUCUGAGUAUUAAGGAUGUUUCAUUGGUUCAUGGGUUACUUAGGUGUUUGGUUUAUGUUGGUUUUAAUGUUUUUUUAUAAUGGUCACAGGCACCAAGUUAUUGUUGUAAGCUGGAGUAAUGGGUUGGGUUCUGAUAUCUUCAGUCUUCUUUCCAGCUACUCUCCUGAGCUCUGCAUCUUCAUCACAUGAGUGUUGCUUUAUUUAUGAGGGUGUGGUCUGAGUGAGCAGAGGUGCAUACUGGGAUACAGAGUUGUCUGAAGUCUACAGGUCUGUAGACACGCCCCCGCAGGGGAAACCGUGUGUUUGAGAAACGGUCGUGACAUCAGUUACAUGGACUAGAAUGUUCUUUAAGAUGGAGACAGGGAUUCAGAAGGAGAAACACCAGGGGGAGAUGAGGGGGCUCCUCAUCUCAACUACUAAAACCCAACUUCAGUCUGACGCAGAGAACCAUGGAACACAUUCAACCGUCCCCUCCAGGCAUAGUGACUCCUCAGGAACAGUUUCAUUUCCAAGAAGGUCUUAUUUGGGGCCAUUCCAAGAUGGAUCCUGCUCCUCAAGAGCCACCCCCUCCACUUGGUGGUUUUAUGAACAGAUUACCUCCUUCCUGUCCUCAGGCUGACUAAAGCUGCACCGCUUGCUGUGAAGGCCCCUCAUUCAGGAAUCCACUGGACUACAAAGACAUGACUUCAGAGACGUUGAAUCAACCUGGGACACAUUUUGGAGGCCAAGCAUAAUCCAUCAGUAAUGUGGGACGACAUUGAAGAUUGUUGUACAUAAUUUACGUCUCUGGAGACAUUGGUUGUUCUGUUCUGGGUGUCCUGGCAAGAGGGCUGGGGGUGGAUGAUGGAAUGUUCUUUGGGAUGAGGUUUUUACCCUGCAUGAUUGUUUUGCCUUUUAUGGCUGUGUUGUGUUGGUUUGACAUGAGGUGGAUGAUUUUUGUGUGUGUGUCACUCACACCUGGCAUGGGGUUCUGUGCGUGUGUCCGGCUUGCUUUGACAGUGAUAAUGGUCAUACGGGGGUCUGUGUGAUUGGCUUGGGAUAUUGGAAUGGUCAAAUAAAUCAUACCUGAUGGACGGCCACACGUUUACUUGAGGCCUCCAGUAGACAUGAAGAGCACGGAGCAACGCUCCGGAGAGAUAUCCAACACACUGGGCAGGAAGGAGAGUGUCCAAAUCAAGUGUAAAAGGAUGCAAGCGGUGUGUUCAGAUCAGUGACUUCAAACUAGGACUACACAAAUCAGGAUCAAUGGAGGAUGGACACCAAAAGGAAUUCCACAAGGAGAGUGAAGUUGGAAAGGGACCUCGAUGGAUAUUCAAGAUGACCUUCAGACCUGUAAUGAGACGGCUCUUCCUACCUGGCUGGAUUGAUGGAGAGCCCCGUGGAUCUUGUCUUGCUCUCAGUUGCACGUCUUCUCAGGCUGAACUGUAUUUGUUUCGGACAGGACUAGCUGAACGAUUGGUUCCCUUAAAUCAGAACCUAUCUGGGAACUCCAACUAGUGCGCUCUUCGAGCUGAAGGUUGUGCUCUUCAGCUGAGGAGGUAAUGAAACCUUCACUGGGGUUUCAAGAUGUAAGGAGGAGACUGUUUCAAAGUGUUCCAUGGUACUCUGAUGAAGACCGUUGUUGUGUUCCACUGGCUGAGAGGAAGAACCCUCACAUCUUCCUCUUGGCCUUUCUCCUCAGAGUCCUGGCGGCAUCUUGAAGGAUAGUCCAGGGCAUGUAACUGAUGUCACGACAGUUUCUCAACACUUGGUUUCUCCUGAGGGGCUUCUCUAUAGAACUGAAGACUUCAGACAGCACUGUAUCCCAGCAUGCAUCUCUGCUCACUCAGACCACACCCUAAUGAGUAGGAUGCAACACUCUAGCGAUGGAGAUGUAGAGUUUUAUAAGUAACGAGGGAGCAGACAAAGGUGAUUAGAACACAAUGGCAUGUCAAGUCUGUAAAUCUUUAAACCAUGAAGAUGGUUGGAUAGAUCAGGAAUUGGGCUUUAUUUUAUUAUGGGCAGUCCUCGCACUUCUCGCUGGACCUGUACAUGUGUUGGCUGGCUGGCAUGAUUUGCUGUUGGUGAUGAGUAGGUCAGGGUGACGUUGCAGGGCUAUGGUCGGCUCUCUGUGAGCUCAACGUUUAGAUUUGCUCUGUAUGGUUUGUACCAUGAAUAAUCUAGAUAAUUGUAAAAUGUAGACAUGGUUUUGUAUUGAAUGAUUCCAUUGUUUUUAGGCAAGGAUUUGUUGUUGUGGGAUGUACAUGGUAGUUUGGUUCUUCGUACGGUUUUGAUUGAUAUAACUUGUACACACUGGGUGCAUAAUAAUGUAAAAGUAUGCUGAAUAGUAGAAAUUACCAACAGCAACAAACGGAUCUCCUCAAGGUAAGUCUGUUGGCUGUGUUUUAAUGUAGACCAUCGCUGGACUUCAGGAUCUUCCUCCGUUCAGCUCAAGGUGAGGCGCUGGUUCUGUUUUUUCUUUGGUUGGUUCCGGCCGGAAUGUUCGGAUUCCAGUCGGACGGUUUGUGCUUCCCGCCGUGGAAGGUUCUGAGUGCGGUCACUUGAUUUAGUCCCAAUGGUUAGCAUAGAACGUUGUAGUCUUGACACCCAUUAGAAGCCACCUGGCAGUUGGUUGGACAGGAAUCUGUCUGAACGUUCUGGAUUGUAUUUGCGUAACCUUGAGCCGUUGCCAACGGAAACUAUUUUUCAGUUGAUUCCAUUGGGAAUUGUUGGCUCUUAUCUUAAACAACUUAAGUUUGAUAUUAAAUACAUACUGACGCGUACAUCGUACAAUAUGUUAAUUUUCGAUGGUUGCGCCGUACUUUUAUCCACGUUGACGGGACUCUCGCUGCGUACAAAACGGCGUUCUACUUGCGGGCCCAUUUCUGACAUCAGUGAAGGCUGAAAAUCAUUUCACGGUGGAAGACAAUUUGACAUUUCUUCAACGGAAUCCAGCACCUGAAUAUGAAUGGGUAAAUUUGAUUUAAUAUCAAUACUGCUUAGUGUUCUUUGGUACUUCAGCUUUUGUACGUUCUAAAUAUCUGGUCAUUAAUUGCACAGAAGUUAAACCUUACCUAAAGGAAUGACUUUAAACAACGACUUUGGUGCUGAGUUACCAACUGGAUAAUAUCAAAGCUAAAAUAAUGGCCGUCCUUCCCACGUGUUCUGUACAAGGUUAAAAGGGUAACAUGUAGUUUUUCCCAAGGUGUCCCCCUCCUCACCCAGAGUAAGACCUCCACCUCCUCACCCAGAGCCAGACCUCCACUGCCUGUCACAAGUCCUCCAGAACAGCUGAAAGGCGAGGCUGAGAGGCUGGGGACCGGAGGCUUGUGGUGCCAGGAUGGACCGGAGACUGAGGCUGGGGACCACGGGCCCGCAGCACCGGAUCAGAGGACCAGGAAUCCAUGGCUGAAGGAGCUGAUGGAGGAGCCAUGCUGAAUGCCCUGCCUGGUGGAGGAGCUGACGGAGGCCCUGCCUGGUGGAGGAUGUCUGUCGUGGGGUAGAUGGAGCCUGACUCUGAAACCAGGACUCUGUCUGAGGAGAGCUGAUGGAGGAGCUGAGACGCUGGAGGACGACUAGGUAUCGACCAACGAGGAUUCCUCAAUGUGUUUAUGGAGCGGAGGCGAGCUGAUAGGGGAGCCAUGAAUCUGGAGGAUGACCAUCACUUUACCAACAAGGAUUGUAAGCGUUGGGGCCAGACUUGCGCUGUUUGUUCCAGACCAGGACUCUGGCUGAGGAGAGCUGAUGGAGGAGCCAUGACUCUGGAGGACGACAUCACUCCACCAACAAGGAUCCUCACCAGGAAUCUGGAGGACUGACGGGAGAAACUGUACAUCUGGAAGGCAAAUCCUGAGGGCGACCAGGACUCUACCAUCAAGGAUUCCUUACACAGCUGAGCUGAACUUCACCUGAUCCUGUUUGGUCGGGGGCAGACACACCUGAGCUGAACCCCACCCGAUCCGGACAUCCUGCUGGUCCUGUCUCCUCAGUUCAUCUGAGGGUCUUCCUCCAGAAGACCUGCUGAGCUCAGCGGUCUGAGGCUGAUGGAUCAAUGACCUCCUGUGGGAGUGAUCUUCUUGACCCCACAUGUACCCGUGUGCUUCCACACGCCUUUCCCUCAAGUCUGUCACUAACCUCACUACUUCACUACUUCACUACUCCUUCCCCUUCUUCCUUCUCCGUGGUUCGAACCGUUACUCUGAAGGAGUGUCUCCUUGAACCUUCACACUGAAGGAGCGUCUUCCUGCCCUCAGAGGGUUCAGCGUUAGGGUUGAGAGUCAGGGUUUAGAGUCAGGGACAGGGCUGGUCAGGGAGGACUGCUUUUACACAAACCUCUUCACUUGCUUUCUGAAUGGUGACAUUUUGAAAAGAUUCAUCUGGGAAAAUGUUUUCCUCUGCUUUCCUUUACAAAAAUAUGUAUUAAACUUCUGUCAAGUGUUUUUGUUUAUACAUUAAAAUCCUACAUUGAC